rnacentral:rRNA from 1 species
UACGAAGGUCCCGAGCGUUGUUCGGAAUCACUGGGCGUAAAGGGAGCGUAGGCGGCGCGGUAAGUCAGAUGUGAAAUCCCGGGGCUCAACCCCGGAACUGCAUCCGGUACUGCCGUGCUAGAGGAUUGGAGAGGUAGCUGGAAUUCUUGGUGUAGCAGUGAAAUGCGUGGAGAUCAAGAGGAACACUCGUGGCGAAAGCGAGCUACUGGACAAUAUCUGACGCUGAGGCUCGAAGGCCAGGGUAGCGAAAGGG